UACGAAGGGGGCGAGCGUUGUUCGGAUUUACUGGGCGUAAAGGGCGCGUAGGCGGCGUGACAAGUCACUUGUGAAAUCUCUGGGCUUAACCCAGAACGGCCAAGUGAAACUGUUGUGCUAGAGUGCAGAAGGGGCAAUCGGAAUUCUCGGUGUAGCGGUGAAAUGCGUAGAUAUCGAGAGGAACACCAGAGGUGAAGACGGGUUGCUGGGCUGACACUGACGCUGAUGCGCGAAAGCCAGGGGAGCAAACGGG
rnacentral:rRNA from 1 species